rnacentral:misc_RNA from 1 species
UGCUGGAUGGGAUGAAACAGGUCCUGGUCUAUAUUACGUAGACAGUGAGGGAGGGAGGCUGAAAGGAACAAGAUUUUCUGUUGGAUCUGGUUCACCUUAUGCCUAUGGUGUCUUGGAUAAUGGAUAUCGGUAUGACUUGUCUGUUGAAGAAGCUGCUGAACUGGCAAGACGAGCUAUUUAUCAUGCAACUUUCCGAGAUGGAGCCAGUGGUGGA